rnacentral:rRNA from 1 species
GGCGCGCGAUACAGGGUGACAGCCCCGUACACAAAAAUGCACAUACUGUGAGCUCGAUGAGUAGGGCGGGACACGUGGUAUCCUGUCUGAAUAUGGGGGGACCAUCCUCCAAGGCUAAAUACUCCUGACUGACCGAUAGUGAACCAGUACCGUGAGGGAAAGGCGAAAAGAACCCCGGCGAGGGGAGUGAAAAAGAACCUGAAACCGUGUACGUACAAGCAGUGGGAGCACGCUUAGGCGUGUGACUGCGUACCUUUUGUAUAAUGGGUCAGCGACUUAUAUUCUGUAGCAAGGUUAACCGAAUAGGGGAGCCGAAGGGAAACCGAGUCUUAACUGGGCGUUAAGUUGCAGGGUAUAGACCCGAAACCCGGUGAUCUAGCCAUGGGCAGGUUGAAGGUUGGGUAACACUAACUGGAGGACCGAACCGACUAAUGUUGAAAAAUUAGCGGAUGACUUGUGGCUGGGGGUGAAAGGCCAAUCAAACCGGGAGAUAGCUGGUUCUCCCCGAAAGCUAUUUAGGUAGCGCCUCGUGAAUUCAUCUCCGGGGGUAGAGCACUGUUUCGGCAAGGGGGUCAUCCCGACUUACCAACCCGAUGCAAACUGCGAAUACCGGAGAAUGUUAUCACGGGAGACACACGGCGGGUGCUAACGUCCGUCGUGAAGAGGGAAACAACCCAGACCGCCAGCUAAGGUCCCAAAGUCAUGGUUAAGUGGGAAACGAUGUGGGAAGGCCCAGACAGCCAGGAUGUUGGCUUAGAAGCAGCCAUCAUUUAAAGAAAGCGUAAUAGCUCACUGGUCGAGUCGGCCUGCGCGGAAGAUGUAACGGGGCUAAACCAUGCACCGAAGCUGCGGCAGCGACGCUGAUGCGUUGUUGGGUAGGGGAGCGUUCUGUAAGCCUGUGAAGGUGUGCUGUGAGGCAUGCUGGAGGUAUCAGAAGUGCGAAUGCUGACAUAAGUAACGAUAAAGCGGGUGAAAAGCCCGCUCGCCGGAAGACCAAGGGUUCCUGUCCAACGUUAAUCGGGGCAGGGUGAGUCGACCCCUAAGGCGAGGCCGAAAGGCGUAGUCGAUGGGAAACAGGUUAAUAUUCCUGUACUUGGUGUUACUGCGAAGGGGGGACGGAGAAGGCUAUGUUGGCCGGGCGACGGUUGUCCCGGUUUAAGCGUGUAGGCUGGUUUUCCAGGCAAAUCCGGAAAAUCAAGGCUGAGGCGUGAUGACGAGGCACUACGGUGCUGAAGCAACAAAUGCCCUGCUUCCAGGAAAAGCCUCUAAGCAUCAGGUAACAUCAAAUCGUACCCCAAACCGACACAGGUGGUCAGGUAGAGAAUACCAAGGCGCUUGAGAGAACUCGGGUGAAGGAACUAGGCAAAAUGGUGCCGUAACUUCGGGAGAAGGCACGCUGAUAUGUAGGUGAAGCGACUUGCUCGUGGAGCUGAAAUCAGUCGAAGAUACCAGCUGGCUGCAACUGUUUAUUAAAAACACAGCACUGUGCAAACACGAAAGUGGACGUAUACGGUGUGACGCCUGCCCGGUGCCGGAAGGUUAAUUGAUGGGGUCAGCGCAAGCGAAGCUCUUGAUCGAAGCCCCGGUAAACGGCGGCCGUAACUAUAACGGUCCUAAGGUAGCGAAAUUCCUUGUCGGGUAAGUUCCGACCUGCACGAAUGGCGUAAUGAUGGCCAGGCUGUCUCCACCCGAGACUCAGUGAAAUUGAACUCGCUGUGAAGAUGCAGUGUACCCGCGGCAAGACGGAAAGACCCCGUGAACCUUUACUAUAGCUUGACACUGAACAUUGAGCCUUGAUGUGUAGGAUAGGUGGGAGGCUUUGAAGUGUGGACGCCAGUCUGCAUGGAGCCGGCCUUGAAAUACCACCCUUUAAUGUUUGAUGUUCUAACGUUGACCCGUGAUCCGGGUUGCGGACAGUGUCUGGUGGGUAGUUUGACUGGGGCGGUCUCCUCCUAAAGAGUAACGGAGGAGCACGAAGGUUGGCUAAUCCUGGUCGGACAUCAGGAGGUUAGUGCAAUGGCAUAAGCCAGCUUGACUGCGAGCGUGACGGCGCGAGCAGGUGCGAAAGCAGGUCAUAGUGAUCCGGUGGUUCUGAAUGGAAGGGCCAUCGCUCAACGGAUAAAAGGUACUCCGGGGAUAACAGGCUGAUACCGCCCAAGAGUUCAUAUCGACGGCGGUGUUUGGCACCUCGAUGUCGGCUCAUCACAUCCUGGGGCUGAAGUAGGUCCCAAGGGUAUGGCUGUUCGCCAUUUAAAGUGGUACGCGAGCUGGGUUUAGAACGUCGUGAGACAGUUCGGUCCCUAUCUGCCGUGGGCGCUGGAGAACUGAGGGGGGCUGCUCCUAGUACGAGAGGACCGGAGUGGACGCAUCACUGGUGUUCGGGUUGUCAUGCCAAUGGCACUGCCCGGUAGCUAAAUGCGGAAGAGAUAAGUGCUGAAAGCAUCUAAGCACGAAACUUGCCCCGAGAUGAGUUCUCCCUGACUCCUUGAGAGUCCUGAAGGAACGUUGAAGACGACGACGUUGAUAGGCCGGGUGUGUAAGCGCAGCGAUGCGUUGAGCUAACCGGUACUAAUGAACCGUGAGG